rnacentral:rRNA from 1 species
GAAGCCCCCCUCAAGAUGAGAUUUCCCAGUAUGUAAGACCCCUUGAAGACGACGAGGUAGAUAGGCUGGGGGUGGAAGUGCAGCAAUGCAUGGAGCUGACCAGUACUAAUCGGUCGAGGGCUUAUCCAAG